rnacentral:snoRNA from 1 species
UUAGCAUAUGAUGAGAAUCGAGACAAGGUGUCUGCAUUGCGCCCGAUCCAAAUCGGGAAGCGAGAAGCAUGAUGACUCCAUCUAGGGGAAUCUCUGAUGCAAG